CGCGGCGUCCCCAAAGUCGUCCUGGAAAGGCGGGCCAGAGAGGGUGAGAGCCCCGUGUGCGGGGGCACCGCGGAAGGUAAGAUCUGUGCCCGAAGAGUCGGGUUGUUUGGGAUUGCAGCCCAAAAUGGGUGGUAAACUCCAUCUAAAGCUAAAUACUGGCACGAGACCGAUAGCGAACAAGUACCGUGAGGGAAAGAUGAAAAGCACUUUGAAAAGAGAGUCAAACAGUACGUGAAACCGUUGGGAGGGAAACGAACGAGGUUGGUGCAGUGAUUGCGCAGGCUCAGGUUCUGCCGAAGGUGCCGUCGGGUGGGCCCACGUGUCCCCUGGCGUACGUCGGAGGCAGAGCCGUACUCCUCGCGAGCACGGACCAGCAGCGGUUGGAGUGGAGCCAUAAGGCUGACAGGAAGGUAGGUCGGGUCGGGCUUGCCCGCUCGACAACUUACAGACUGGCUGUCCGGCGCUCCACUCGGACCGAGGAAAGGGGGCAGCUCUUGCCCGGUGUGGUGCACGCCGUAUGGCGGGGCCUCCCGUCGAGGGCGAGCCGUGCGGGGUUGACUGCUUGCAGUGCUC
rnacentral:rRNA from 1 species